rnacentral:rRNA from 1 species
CCCUGGUUGAUCCUGCCAGUAGUUAUAUGCUUGUCUCAAAGAUUAAGCCAUGCAUGUCUCAGUGCAAGCCGUAUUAAGGCGAUACCGCGAAUGGCUCAAUAUAUCAGUUUUGGUUCCUUAGAUCUUACUCAGUUACUUGGAUAACUGUGGUAAUUCUAGAGCUAAUACAUGCAACCAGAGCUCUGACCAGUGAUGAGAUGAGUGGUUUUAUUAGAUCAAAACCAAUCGACGGAGGGCCUCGCGUCCGAAGUCGUUAAUUUUGAUGAAUCUGGAUAACUUUUGCCGAUCGCAUGGUCCAGUACCGGCGACGCAUCUUUCAAAUGUCUGCCUUAUCAACUUUCGAUGGUAGUUUCUGCGACUACCAUGGUUGUCACGGGUAACGGGGAAUCAGGGUUCGAUUCCGGAGAGGGAGCCUGAGAAUCGGCUACCACAUCCAAGGAAGGCAGCAGGCGCGCAAAUUACCCACUCCCGGCACGGGGAGGUAGUGACGAAAAAUAACGAUACGGGACUCUUACGAGGCCUCGUAAUCGGAAUGAUAUACUCAUUCCGAUUACGAGGUUCCUUUAAAUAUUUUAACGAGGAACAAUUGGAGGGCAAGUCUGGUGCCAGCAGCCGCGGUAAUUCCAGCUCCAAUAGCGUAUACUAAAAUUGUUGCGGUUAAAAAGCUCGUAGUUGCAUUUGUGCGCCGCGCUGUCGGUGCAUCGCAUCCGCGGUGAUACUGACACGUCUGCGGAGCAUAUCGUCGGUGAGCCGGCGGUAAAACGCCGGUUCAAUAUCAAAAUCCUAUCGCGGUGCUUCUUCAGUGAGUGUCGAGAUGGGCCGACAAUUUUACUUUGAACAAAUUAGAGUGCUCAAAGCGGGCUCAAAAUGCCGCUUGAAUAUUUCGUGCAUGGAAUAAUAGAAUAUGAUCUCGGUUCUAUUUUGUUGGUUUUCAGAACUCCGAGGUAAUGAUUAAUAGGGAUAACUGGGGGCAUUCGUAUUGCGACGUUAUAGGUGAAAUUCUUGGAUCGUCGCAAGACGAACAUCAGCGAAAGCAUUUGCCAAAGGUGUUUUCAUCAAUCAAGAACGAAAGUUAGAGGUUCGAAGGCGAUUAGAUACCGCCCUAGUUCUAACCGUUAAUAUGUCAUCUAGCGAUCCGCCGACGUUACUACAAUGGCUCGGCGGGCAGCUUCCGGGAAACCAAAGAUUUUGGACUCCGGGGGGAGUAUGGUUGCAAAGCUGAAACUUAAAGGAAUUGACGGAAGGGCACCACCAGGAGUGGAGCCUGCGGCUUAAUUUGACUCAACACGGGAAAUCUCACCAGGCCCGGACACCGGAAGGAUUGACAGAUUAACAGCUCUUUUUGAUUCGGUGGGUGGUGGUGCAUGGCCGUUCUUAGUUGGUGGAGCGAUUUGUCUGGUUAAUUCCGGUAACGAACGAGACUCUAGCCUGCUAAAUAGGCGUCGUCAUUUAGGUGUGCGCGGCUUCAGGGUCGCGCAACUCACUGGCGGCGUAUUAAAAUUCUUCUUAGAGGGACCGGCGGCUUCGAGCCGCACGAGAUUGAGCAAUAACAGGUCUGUGAUGCCCUUAGAUGUCCUGGGCCGCACGCGCGCUACACUGAAGGAAUCAACAUGUUCUCCCUGGCCUAGAGGCCCGGGCAACCCGUUGAAACUCCUUCGUGCUGGGGAUUGGGGUUUGCAAUUAUCCCCCAUAAACGAGGAAUUCCUAGUAAGCGCGAGUCAUAAGCUCGCGUUGAUUACGUCCCUGCCCUUUGUACACACCGCCCGUCGCUACUACCGAUUGAAUGAUUUAGUGAGGUCUUCGGACCGACACGCGGUGGCUUCGCGGCCGUCGGCGUUGCUGGGAAGUUGACCAAACUUGAUCAUUUAGAGGAAGUAAAAGUCGUAACAAGGUUUCCGUAGGGGAACCUGCGGAAG